GAGUACGCAGUGUCCCGUUUGCUGUCUCGAGAGAAUCAACCAAUGCUGCUGUUUCGAGUCUCAAGGGCCUUGACGUGAAGCAAAGCUGAAUUGUUUUGUGCUUUUAUUACCGAUCAAGAACUAGUAUUUUGAUCAGCUGGCUACUAGUACUAGUGCUUGUCACAUCAAGCUACAGUUCUUUUGGUUCCACACAGCACGUCAAGUUACAGAAAUCAGGAUUACGUGCACCGCUGCACGCGUCUGGGCGUUCUGUCGGAUCAGAUUGGAAUUUCCGUUUCCGCUGCUGCACCACCUAUGAAGUUGAGUCUGACAGGUGUUUCCGUCUCCAGCAAAGAUCAAGACCUAAGGCUGUGGCUGUCGUUGUCCGAUCUGCCGAGUCCGAUUUACAGAAAAAAGAAGGGAUGCACCGUGAGUCGCCGAGACCGACAAGUCUUUUACUUAAGCGCCGAUUCAACGUAUAAAUAGCAAUGGAGAUCGAUUCUUGUACAGGCAGUCUGCCGAGGUGGACACAAAGUUGCCGCUGCGCCCUGCUGUCAAAACACAAGUCAUCUCUGACCAGAGCAACAGCCCAUGACCCGGAAAGCCGAUACAACUAUGACCCGGUCUGGUUGCGCUCCUUUCCUUUGCCGGCAUACCUGCAAGUCGCCGCCUUAGACCGGCCUGGAAACACCCUCCAAGCCGCCUUAGUCACUGGAUGUAGCCGCGCUACCAUAGUUUAUACUUCAAUCCGCCACCGGGUGUUGACCCAGACUGCUGCCCUUAAUCCGCCACUACGGACUAAACCGCCGCCGCACCUGUGAGCCGCACCGGACAUCACCUCAAACCGCCGUCAACGCCGCGGCUCUCCAGCUCCGCCCAAUCGCCGCCGGGUCACCGCGGAGUGGCCUCGCCGAAUCGCCGCCGGAUCACCGCGGAGCGGCCUCGCCGAAUCGCCACCGGGUCACCACGGAGCAGCCUUGACGAAUUGCCGCCGGGUUACCGCGGAGCGGCCUCGCCGAAUCGCCACGGGGUCACCGCUGAGCGCCUCGCCAAAUCGCCACUGGGUUAACACAGAACGGCCCCGCCAAUUCGCCGCCGAGUCACCACCGAGCGCCUCGCCGAAUCGCCGCCAAGUCGCGCCGCGUGGUCUCAACCAUCGCCAGGGUCUCCCCUCACCUCGAGCUGCCAUUGAACCGGCCUGGCCCUGAGCCGCCCUGGCCCCACUCUACUUCACCUCUCCGCUCCGCCGCAACAUCCCAUCUCCACGUUGCCGCGUCGCCCACUGCGUCAGCCGCAGCUCCCCGCCGUCUGUGCCAUGCCCCAUGCCGGAUCAAAACUAUUAGUACUGCUAUGAGUAUCAAGUACAAGGCAAUUACAUGCGGGAAGGUAAUAACCUUCGAAGCUGCCACUGCGAACCUGUUUCCACCAAGUCAACAGCUCCCCUCCGGUUUUGCCGGCCUGCAUCAAUCACCGUGAGUGACCCGCCGCAACUGUGGUUCGCUGCUGUCACGCCCAAGAUGCGACCCUAUCCUAAAGGAACUCAAAGGUCCCACCAAGGAUAGAAGCGCAUCUUGAAGACGCUUUUGCAAGGUGGAUAUCAUUACAUCAACAUUACAUAAUAAAUAGGGAUACAUACAUAAGGAAUACAAUGCCACACGAAUACACCAACAUCAUACACAAUAGCAUCAUCCGACUACGGAUGAAACAUAAACAGAAACUCAAACGACAUCCAUCCUGCUAGCCUAGGCUGCCGACCUGGAACCUAUCCCCUAAUCGAAGAAGAAGCAGAAGAAGAACUCCAAAACAAGUAACAUCACUCUCGCGUCAAGAUCAUCGCAUAACCUGUACCUGCAACUGUUGUUGUAGUAAUCUGUGAGCCACGAGGACUCAGCAAUCCCAUUACCAUGGUUAUCAAGACUAGCAAAGCUUAAUGGGUAAGGAAGGGGUAAAGUGGUGAGGUUGCAGCAGAGACUAAGCAUAUAUGGUGGCUAACAUACGCAAAUAAGAGCGAGAAGAGAGCAAACGAAACGGUCGUGAAGCUAGCAAUGAUCAAGAGGCGAUCCUGAACUCCUACUUACGUCAAGCAUAACCCAAAAUCGUGUUCUCCUCCUGGACUCCGCCGAAAAGAGACCAUCACGGCUACACACGCGGUUGAUGCAUUUUAAUUCGUAUCUGGUGUCAAGUUAUCUACAACCAGACAUUAACAAAUUCCCAUCUGCCACAUAACUGCGGGCACAGCUUUCGAAAGAUAAUACCCUGCAGGAGUGUCCCAACUUAGCCCAUGAUAAGCUCUCGCGAUCAACGAAGGAUAUACCUUCUCCUAGGAAGACCCGAUCAGACUCGGAAUCCCGGUUUAUAAGACAUUUCGACAAUGGUAAAACAAGACCAGCAAGACCGCCCGAUGCGCCGACAAUCCCGAUAGGAGCUGCACAUAUCUCAUUCUCAGGGCAACACCGGAUGAGCAAUCCGUACAACUAAAACCAUACCUCAAGUUUCCCUGAGGGGGCGCUGCAAAGGGCUCUGGUUCGGACCAGUACUUAGAGAAGCACUGGCCCGGGGGGGCUAACUAAAGAUGACCCUCGAGAGAGCGACUCCCAAGGGAAAAGUAGGUGGUGGUGAGGCAAAUGGUAAAACCAAGGUUGGGCCUUGCUGGAGGAGUUUUAUUCAAAGCGAACUGUCAAGGGGGUCCCAUAAAUCACCCAACCGCGUAAGGAACGCAAAAUCCAGGAACAUAACGCCGGUAUGACGGAAACUAGGGUGGCAAGAAUGGAACAAAACACCAGGCAUAAGGCCGAGCCUUCCAUCCUUUACAAAGUAUAUAUAUGCAUUAAUUAAAUAAGAGAUAUUGUAAUAUCCCAACAUAAUCAUGUCCACCAUGGAGCAAUCUUCAACUUCACCUGCAACUAGCAACGCUAUAAGAGGGGCUGAGCAAAGCGGUAACAUAGCCAAGCAACGGUUUGCUAGAAAGGGUGAAAAGGUUAGAGGCUGACAUGGCAGUUUGGGAGGCUUGAUCAACAAGAGAUAGGUAGCGCGACAAAGCAAUAGAACGAAGCAACUAGCAUAGAAUGAUAGUAAUGAGAUCCAAGGCGACGGUCAUCUUGCCUGAAAUCCCGCAAGGAAGAAGAACGAGUCCAUGAAGAAGACGAAUGGGAGUAGUCGAAUGAAUCCUCACAAUCGCAACAUUAUCGGAACUAAGAAGCAAUACCGGAAAGAAACAAACAACAUGGUAAAUGCACAAGCAUAAACAUGGCAUGAUGCACAAACAAGCAUGAUGCAUGUCCGGUUUAAUAAGGCAUGGCAUGGCAAAGUGCAACAAACAAUACUACAAGUUAAAUGGAGCUCAAUAUGCAACGAGUUGCAUAUUAACGAAACACCACAUUCAACUAUUUAGUUAGCUCUCGUUUAGGUACACAACAAUAUUAAAUGUUGCUAAUC
rnacentral:lncRNA from 1 species